rnacentral:tRNA from 1 species
AGGAUUGUAGCUCAGGGGUAGAGUACUUGCCUAGCAAGCAUGAGGCCCUGGGUUCAGUCCCCAGUACCACUA